rnacentral:lncRNA from 1 species
GGCCAAUCAACCUUGGGCUCAGCUUGCCUUUCUUCCCAAACCUCAUAACACCCUUCAAAUGUGAGACUUUCAAGAGGACCUUCUCGUCAACCAUGAAUGAUACAUCACACGCCUUUUGAUCCGCGUAACUCUUAUGUCAGUAUUGAGCUGUGCGAAGCCUCUCCUGAAUCAACUUUACCUUGUCCAAGGCAUCUUGCACCAAAUCUAUACCAUAUAACUUAGCCUCACUAGGCUCAAACCACCUGAUAGGAGAACGACACCGCCGACCUUAUAAAACCUCAAAUGAACCAUUUUAAUGUUGGACUGAUAGCUGUUGUUGUAAGAAAACUCUGCCAAAGGCAAGAACUGAUCCCACUGUCCUCCAAAGUCAAUCACACAUGCUCUAAGCAUGUCCUCCAAAAUCUAAACUGUCCC